rnacentral:tRNA from 1 species
GCCUGGGUGGCUCAGUUGGUUUGGCGUCUGACUUCAGCUCAGGUCAUGAUCUCACAGUUCGUGGGUUCGAGCCCCGCGUCGGGCU